rnacentral:rRNA from 1 species
ACGUAGGGUGCGAGCGUUAAUCGGAAUUACUGGGCGUAAAGCGUGCGCAGGCGGUUGGCUAAGUUCGUUGUGAGAGCGCCCAGGCUUAACCGGGCGAGGACAAUGAAGACUGGUCAGCUAGAGGACGGUAGAGGCAAGUGGAAUUCCGGGUGUAGUGGUGAAAUGCGUAGAGAUCCGGAGGAACCCCGGUGGCGAAGGCGACUUGCUGGGCCUGAACUGACGCUCAGACGCGAAAGCAUGGGGAGCGAACGG